rnacentral:rRNA from 1 species
ACGGGAGGCAGCAGUGGGGAAUAUUGGGCAAUGGGCGAAAGCCUGACCCAGCAACGCCGCGUGAAGGAAGAAGGUCUUCGGAUUGUAAACUUCUUUUAUGAGGGACGAAGGACGUGACGGUACCUCAUGAAUAAGCCACGGCUAACUACGUGCCAGCAGCCGCGGUAAUACGUAGGUGGCAAGCGUUAUCCGGAUUUAUUGGGUUUAAAGGGAGCGCAGGCGGAGAUGUAAGCCAGCCGUUAAAUCGUGGGGCUCAACCCCAUGCUGCGGUUGGAACUGCAUCCCUUGAGUGCACGAGAGGAUGGUGGAAUUCGUGGUGUAGCGGUGAAAUGCAUAGAUAUCACGAAGAACUCCGAUUGCGAAGGCAGCCAUCUGGCGUGUUACUGACGCUCAUGCUCGAAGGUGCGGGUAUCAAACAGGAUUAGAUACCCUGGUA